AUUGAACGCUGGCGGCAGGCCUAACACAUGCAAGUCGAACGAGUGGCGGACGGGUGAGUAAUGCUUGGGAAUCUGGCUUAUGGAGGGGGAUAACGACUGGAAACUGUCGCUAAUACCGCGUACCAUAGGGUGAGCCCAAGUGGGAUUAGGUAGUUGGUGGGGUAAUGGCUUACCAAGCGGACGAUCUCUAGCUGGUCUGAGAGGAUGACCAGCCAAACGGGGACUGAGACACGGCCCGGACUCCUACGGGAGGCAGAAGUGGGGAAUAUUGCGCAAUGGGGGCAAGCCUGACGCAGCCAUGCCGCGUGAAUGAAGAAGGCCUUCGGGUUGUAAAGUACUUUCGGUGACGAGGCGUUAAUCACAGAAGAAGCACCGGCUAACUCCGUGCCAGCAGCCGCGGUAAUAC
rnacentral:rRNA from 1 species